AUUGAACGCUGGCGGCAUGCCUAACACAUGCAAGUCGAACGAGUGGCGGACGGGUGAGUAAUGUCUGGGAAACUGCCUGAUGGAGGGGGAUAACUACGGGAACCGGUGGAUAAUACCGCUUACGGUCCGAUGGGCCCAGAUGGGAUUAGCUAGUGGGGGGGGUAACGGCUCACCAAGGGGACGAUCCCUAGCUGGUCUGAGAGGAUGACCAGCCACACUGGGACGGAGACACGGUCCAGACUCCUACGGGAGGCAGCAGUGGGGAAUAUUGGACAAUGGGCGAAAGCCUGACGCAGCCAUGCCGCGUGUAUGAAGAAGGCUUUCGGGUUGUAAAGUACUUUCAGCGGGGAGGCGUUACCCGCAGAAGAAGCACCGGCUAACUCCGUGCCAGCAGCCGCGGUAAUUC
rnacentral:rRNA from 1 species